AAUACCGCAUACGUCCUACGGGAGAAAGCAGGGGAUCUUCGGACCUUGCGCUAAUAGAUGAGCCUAAGUCGGAUUAGCUAGUUGGUGGGGUAAAGGCCUACCAAGGCGACGAUCUGUAGCGGGUCUGAGAGGAUGAUCCGCCACACUGGGACUGAGACACGGCCCAGACUCCUACGGGAGGCAGCAGUGGGGAAUAUUGGACAAUGGGGGGAACCCUGAUCCAGCCAUGCCGCGUGUGUGAAGAAGGCCUUAUGGUUGUAAAGCACUUUAAGCGAGGAGGAGGCUACUUUAGUUAAUACCUAGAGAUAGUGGACGUUACUCGCAGAAUAAGCACCGGCUAACUCUGUGCCAGCAGCCGCGGUAAUACAGAGGGUGCGAGCGUUAAUCGGAUUUACUGGGCGUAAAGCGUGCGUAGGCGGCUUAUUAAGUCGGAUGUGAAAUCCCCGAGCUUAACUUGGGAAUUGCAUUCGAUACUGGUGAGCUAGAGUAUGGGAGAGGAUGGUAGAAUUCCAGGUGUAGCGGUGAAAUGCGUAGAGAUCUGGAGGAAUACCGAUGGCGAAGGCAGCCAUCUGGCCUAAUACUGACGCUGAGGUACGAAAGCAUGGGGAGCAAACAGGAUUAGAUACCCUGGUAGUCCAUGCCGUAAACGAUGUCUACUAGCCGUUG
rnacentral:rRNA from 1 species